CAGUCGCCGCGGUAAUACGGAGGGCGCGAGCGUUACCCGGAUUUACUGGGCGUAAAGGGCGUGUAGGCGGCCUGGGGCGUCCCAUGUGAAAGGCCACGGCUCAACCGUGGAGGAGCGUGGGAUACGCUCAGGCUAGAGGGUGGGAGAGGGUGGUAGAAUUCCCGGAGUAGCGGUGAAAUGCGCAGAUACCGGGAGGAACGCCGAUGGCGAAGGCAGCCACCUGGUCCACUUCUGACGCUGAGGCGCGAAAGCGUGGGGAGCAAACCGGAUUAGAUACCCGCGUAGUCCCUGUCUCUUAUAC
rnacentral:rRNA from 1 species